UCGAUGGCAGAAGACACCUUCGAUAAAUUUUUUUUAGCGCAUUUUCUGUGUCGGCGUCAAUUGCAUAUGAACUUUUUCGGAAAAACGAAAGUGUUGUACCUUUGCUACAAACUCUUCAAGGACAAACUUUAAACAAAAUAUUGAUGGAAUCAAUCAAGAAACGUCUUUCCGUAUAUGAGCAGAGAACUAUCUGCAGGAUGGCUACGCUUUUGGAUCCACUGUUCAAAAAAAGUGGAUUUCAACAUAGCUCAAACGCUGAACAAGCAGCAAAAUUUUUUGAAAAUGAGCUGGCCAAUUGUCCAGUUAAAGAGACCGCAAGUAAUCAACCCGUAGCAUCGGAUUCGAACUCAAGAGUCGAUGCAAUUUUAACUAAGAGGCAGUAUCUGGAAAGAGCAAUUGUCGGACAAGAUAUCGACCCUCUGUUAUGGAUGAAGUGAAUCAAACUGAUUUCCCUGCCAUUGGGAGCCUUUUCGCCAAAUAUCUUUGCAUUCCGGCUACGUCCGUGGAGUCUGAAAGAACAUUCAGCAAGGCGGGCCAAAUAAUAACAUUCUUUUGUUUUUAAAUCGCAACUCUUAGCUGAAAUAAAGCAUAUUUUAUUGUA